UACGUAGGGUGCAAGCGUUGUCCGGAAUUAUUGGGCGUAAAGAGCUCGUAGGCGGUUUGUCGCGUCUGCUGUGAAAUCUGGGGGCUCAACCCCCAGCCUGCAGUGAGUACGGGCAGACUAGAGUGCGGUAGGGGAGAUUGGAAUUCCUGGUGUAGCGGUGGAAUGCGCAGAUAUCAGGAGGAACACCGAUGGCGAAGGCAGAUCUCUGGGCCGUAACUGACGCUGAGGAGCGAAAGCAUGGGGAGCGAACAGG
rnacentral:rRNA from 1 species